rnacentral:tRNA from 1 species
GCGUUGGUAGUUCAAUUGGAUAGAACAUCAGAUUUCGGCUCUGAGGGUUGAGGGUUCGAGUCCUUCCCAACGCA